AUUGAACGCUGGCGGCAGGCCUAACACAUGCAAGUCGAGCGGAGCGGCGGCAGGGGGAGUAAUGCCUAGGUAUCUGCCUGUUAGUGGUGGAUAACGUCCGGAACCGGGCGCUCAUACCGCAUACUAUCGGAUGAGCCUUGGUAGAUUUGGGUAUUUGGUGGGGUAAAGGCCUACCAAGGCGACGAUCAGUAACUGGUCUGAGAGGAUGAUCAGUCUCACUGGAACUGAAGCACGGGCCAGACUCCUACGGGAGGCAGCAGGUGGGAAUAUUGGACCAUUGGCGAAAGCCUGAUCCAGCCAUGCCGCGUGUAUGAAGAAGGUCUUCGGAGUGUAAAGCACUUUAAGUUGGGAGGCGUUACCUGAAGAAUAAGCACCGGCUAACUACGUGCCAGCCGCCGCGGUAAUAC
rnacentral:rRNA from 1 species